rnacentral:misc_RNA from 1 species
AGAAGAGGUCAUCCACUACACAAGACAAUCUUUAGGUCAUCCAAUGCCCACUUAAAUUGAGGAAAAAAGGAUUCUUCUGCGGGUGUUAAUAUUGACAAAUGUGUAGAAUCUUUAAUUUCUCUGCUUCAUGUUCACUUGUUAAUGGCAGUAACUUCUUUGUCUCCGCAUUCUAGCUCCCCAGGAUAUGCUUUUUAAAUCUUUAGCAUUACUCUUUCUUAUUAGCUCUGCCAGCUGAGAUUGCCAUCUCUGUUCCCAAUCAUCUCUAGCAUCCAAUCCCUCAUUGUGUUCAUAAAAAUUGGCAAAUCAAAGAUUAGAAACAAAAUACAAACCAACUUAUCAAAACUUAAAUGAAUGCAGGUGAUGGUACAUUGUUUAUCGUUCCAAAAUCUUG